AGGUGUCGGCCCGCAAACUGGGCGAUCGGAGCAGAAGCAGGACGCUCCACAGCAGCCAGACCUGGGAAGAAAUCAUCCUGAAGACAAGGCGCGUCCCCGAUGAGACCCGAGGUACCUCGACGGCUGAAAUAAAACGGUGUGUCUCCUCCUCCUGCAGCUACCUGUAAAAUUCAGGAAGUGGAAGAGUCCAGUGGGGGCAGGGUGUUGGACGCUUGAGUCACCUGCCACUGAUGCAUGACCACUAACCAGAGCUACUGCCAACAGUUGCUAUAAUCAGAACCUGUUUAGGGUGAUGUCUGCAAAUGCUUCGUAGAGAGGCUGCGUCAGAUUUCCGGAGGUCUCAGGGUUUUGCGGCUGGAGAUGGAUUUCCUGCCCUGUUACCGUAACACCGGGCUGUGCGUUUUAAAAUAACGUAUAUGCAAAGAACACCUGUUGCAGUAACGUAUUAAUAUAUGCUGUAAUAUGCACACAUCAUGGUACCACUAUUCACAAAAUAACAGGCGUAAAAUAUGCAGUGGCGCAACCCAAUAUAAUCGUGGAUCGUCAUAUAUACCAGUAGACCUAGCUCUUUUAUGCCUAGAAUGCUUAAAGUUAAUUUCGACGUUUCAUGGGUGAUAAAUCACCAUCUGAGGCACUGGUCUAGGAUCAGCAUCCAGUAUCAUCAAUUCCAUCAACCGAUAUUCGGCAAACAUCUCAAGCAAAGAGCUGAAUAUUACUGUUGCCCUCGCCAUACGUUCCGUUUCCUAGGCAACAGAAGUGUGAUUGGUUGUGCCACAGGCAUGCCAGCAUCCAGGUUGGUGGCCACGUUUGCUUGCCAAGUACACGCAGAUGCCUAAUGCCUUUGGAUAGCAGCCCUGUGGGUGUAAUACGUUCGCUGAAUAACUGCGUGUGCUGACCAGCAGAUGGCAUUCAGUCACCUGUACCAAAUAAAAUUCGACUGCAUAAUGGGGGUCCCCUGGCGAUGGCUGCACUGAGGCAGACUAACCUGUAUUACUGUAGGUAUUAUAUAUCCUGUGGCACUCAUUGACUCAGUAAGGCUGUUAAGUCAAAUUAGUUGCACCUACAGGCAUUAUCAAAAAAAACAAUGACGUCUGGUGUAUAGCUAGGUAUUAGGUGGUGUACUAAUUAGGUCAUAGCGGGGGCUGUUCUGUAGUAUGUGUGAGCAAAGUACUCAACCUAAAGUACUAAGUAAAAUGAAUUUGAUAAAAAAAAAAGGUCAGUAAAGCAGAUGUAGAAGAACAGGCUUGGUGCGAGACACGGCUGUCAAGUGAGGUGAGCCCCUCAAAUGAAAAACUUUAGUAGAGUAAGACUUAAUAAACUGAGUAAUCGUAAAACUUGCUAGCUCUUGCCUGCAAACAAGCCGGUGUAUGUGGCUGAAAAUUUGGUGGAAGCCGACCUAAUUAUCUAGUACAGACAGGAAAUGAGGCAGACAAGAAGCCUUAAUGAUAAAACCCCUUGCUAACAAUCAUCAUCAACUCGUUUGUGAUGUGCAGGAUAGUCUUUUCACAUUUUUACUCUAUAGCUCAUUUAGGACAUAAUAUUGACGUUUUUUUUUUUCCCCCAAAAAGGUUACUUAUGUUUUUAAAAUAGUCAUAAUGGUUUCAGUGACAAAGACGGAGUGUGACAAUACAUGGUGUUAAGUGUGACUAAAAAUAAAUCAUUAAAAUCUUUUAUAUUAACUGCGUAAUUUCAAACUGUAAAAUGAUCUGCCAGUCAUGUACAAACUACUUGCACCCCCUAGUUAAGCCAGAACACAUUUUUUUACAUGAAGAUUAACUAGCAGCUUGAUCAUUCCCAACAAAGAGUUACUUUCCACGGCAGUCUUUGUUGUGAGAUUAUGUGUUGAAAUGUGCACAUUUAUUUAUGUUUGUUUAUACUGAAUGUGACUUACUAUGUAACUUAUAUUUCAAUGCAUUGUUGGAGAUUGACUCACGAUAUGAGUCAUACAGUACAGCUUCAGGGAAGUGAAACUAUGUGAAGAUACCAAUAAUGUUUUCUCAGAGCCUUUGUGGGACUUCGCCACAGACAGGCCCCAGCAGAAAGUCGGGACUUUGGUGAAGUCCAGGACAAAGGGCUUUUAUUAAUGAAACUAGCUGAUAUAUAGAGAUUCUGUGCAGGAGAACAAGAAGACUUAUGUACUCAGAAAACCACAGAAUGACACUGCAGCCCUCCACAUCCCGACGUAGUACACCACCUAUCAGACAGAGGGAAUGAUUAUUUUGUGGUGGUCUAGAGCAACACAGUCAGACUACAUGCUAAAUCAUCUUAAGUAAUUUUCAAGAACAAAAAUAAAAACCAUGAUCACUCCGUUUCUCAUACUAGGACGUGAAUACAUCACUUUUUGUGAAUAAUUACAAUAAUUAAGAUGGUUCCUGUUAAAGAAGAACCGAAAAGGGGGCGGAGGGUUAUUAUGUUGGCAACUGAAGAACAAUCCGAUUAAAAUGACUGAAUGAGGUUCCUUCCACUCUACCUGGUGUGGGAUGUGUACUGUCUUUGCAACUUGUCUGUUUUGCACAAAAUGUAUAUUCAUCUGUGAUCUAUGUACCUUGCUUCUGUAUACACAAGACUUGCCCCCUGGGAUCAAUAAAGUUCACCUAAUCUAAUCUAA